rnacentral:SRP_RNA from 1 species
GGCAUCUCGUGGAAAUGAAGCGUUCGGACCGUUUGAGCGGAGGCUCGAAACAGAGCAGGGAACAUCAUCCCGCUCGACAGGGUGAAUGGAUUGCGAAC